rnacentral:rRNA from 1 species
AGCCGCGGUAAUACGUAGGGGGCGAGCGUUGUCCGAAGUUACUGGGCGUAAAGCGCGCGUAGGCGGUUAUUUAAGUCUGGGGUGAAAGGUUCAGCGCUCAACGUGAACAGUGCCUUGGAUACUGGAUGACUUGAGUCUGGGAGGGGGAAGGGGAAUUCCUGGUGUAGCGGUGAAAUGCGUAGAUAUCAGGAGGAACACCGGUGGCGAAGGCGCCUUCCUGGCCUAAGACUGACGCUGAGGUGCGAAAGCGUGGGGAGCAAACGGGAUUAGAUACCCCGGUAGUCCACGCCGUAAACGAUGAGUGCUAGGUGUCCGGGGGUAUUCGACCCCCCCCGGUGCCCGUCGCUAACGCAUUAAGCACUUCCGCCUGGGGGAGUACGGCCCGCAAGGGUUUGAAACUCAAAGGAAUUGACGGGACCCCCGCACAAGCCGGUGGGAGCAUGUGGGAUUAAAUUUCGUCACUUAACCGAAGAACCCUUACCCCAGGUUUUGACAUCCGAGGGUAAGAACCAUGAAAAGUGGUACCCUCUUAGCCAAUAGAACCCCGAAGA